rnacentral:rRNA from 1 species
GAUGAACGCUGGCGGCGUGCCUAAUACAUGCAAGUCGAGCGAACGGACGAGAAGCUUGCUUCUCUGAUGUUAGCGGCGGACGGGUGAGUAACACGUGGAUAACCUACCUAUAAGACUGGGAUAACUUCGGGAAACCGGAGCUAAUACCGGAUGAUAUUUUGAACCGCAUGGUUCAAAAGUGAAAGACGGUCUUGCUGUCACUUAUAGAUGGAUCCGCGCUGCAUUAGCUAGUUGGUAAGGUAACGGCUUACCAAGGCAACGAUGCAUAGCCGACCUGAGAGAGUGAUAGGCCACACGGGAACUGAGACACGGUCAAGACUCCUACGGGAGGCAGCAGUAGGGAAUCUUACGCAAUGGGCGAAAGCAUGACGGAGCAACGCCGCGUGAGUGAUGAAGGUCUUCGGAUCGUAAAACUCUGUUAUUAGGGAAGAACAUAUGUGUAAGUAACUGUGCACAGCUUGACGGUACCUAAUCAGAAAGCCACGGCUAACUACGUG